GCCUGGGGGGCUCAGUCGGUUGGGCGUCUGACUUUGGCUCAGGUUUUGUGAGUUCCAACCCCCACGUCAGGCU
rnacentral:tRNA from 1 species